ensembl:ncRNA ZK381.54 ncRNA
CCUUCUCCUCCUCAUCCCCUUCUCAUGCACCAUCAUCACCAUCACCGGCUGUCUUCCGUGAUGUGAGGUGUCUGUCUCUCGUCUCACUCACACAUGCGCAUCAUAGGGCACCGACGCAAAAAAGUGUCAAAAACGAUUUAUUGUCU